rnacentral:lncRNA from 1 species
AGCAAAUCUAGCUUUGUGAUUGGCUCAUGGUCCUGUCAAUCUCGAUCUGAACUGUGUUGCUAGGUGAAGAUUCCAACUUCCUGGGCAGAGGGUCAUGUAGUGGAAUAGAGCUGUACCUGGCUUCAGGCGAGACUUGGAUUCUUGUGCUGUCACUCAGGCUGGAGUGCAACGUUGAAAUCUCGGCUCACUGCAACUUCUGCCUCCCGGAUUCAGGCAAUUCUUGUGUCUCAGCCUCCUAAGAAGCUGAGAUUACAGCAACUCCAAAAUGGAAGUACUAUUGUUAUCUCCGUUUACAAAUUAGGAAACUGAGGCACAGAUAUGCUCUUGGGUACUUGUCAGCAGCAGUUGUUCUACAAGCUAAAUAUCUGGAUAUCUUAAAUCUCAGAUGAGCGUCUUAGCCUCUGGAUUACUGCUCAAUGAGGAAAGCUAUGAAAUGCAUGGAUAACUUGCUAAUCAGUAUUUGCCAUAUGUGCUAGCAGCAUCAGCAUCAGUUGGGAGAUUAUGGUGGCCUCCAUGUCAGACCUCCUAAAUCGGAAUAUCAGAGAAGGUGGCCCAGGUUACCAUGCUUCAUCUGCCAAUGCAUUGAAAACUUGGAAUGUAAAUUAAUUCAACCAUUGUGGAAGAUGGUGUAGUGAUUCCUCAAAGACCUAGAAGCAGAAAUAUCAUUUGAUCCAGAAAUCCCAUUACUGUGUAUACACCCAAAGGAAUAUAAACCAUUCUAUUACAAAGAUACAUGCGUGCGUAUGUUCAUUGCAG